rnacentral:lncRNA from 1 species
AACAACUCACAAAACCCAAUCAUACAUUCAUAAUGGCAUCAACAACCAUUAUAUACAUAUAUAGAUUAACAAAUGAAUCUUAACAUUUCACAUCAAGUAUUCAUAUACACCUAAUUGGACCUUGACCAUCAGCGGAGUGACUCUGGGCAAGGUUGCUAACAUCUAAUGUCAUGGUAAACCUACCGAGCAAUGGAUGGGGAGGAACACCUCAUCCUAGGAUCCAAUCACCUUUGACUCAGAAGAAAAAACCUAAAACAUGAAGUUUAAAAACAUGAGUAUAAACUCAGUGAGUGAACAUAGGAAGGGAACAAGCAACGUUAAGGAAAGUUUAGAAAUCAUGAUGCAUUUAAGUUUGAAAACAAUGCAACUUAGUUCAAGUUCUUAUUAAAAAUACCUCCAUUUAACCCCUAGUUAUUAAAUCCUUUAAUGAUGAAGGAACCAUAUUCAACAUGAAAUUGGAAAUAAAGGAAAUUUCCAGCAAUCAUCCAAGCAAGGCAGUAUAAACAGAAUGUUUCUCGCUGUAAUAAAAUGAAUUCACAAGUAAAUGGGAAGUUUUCAAGAUUCAUCAUGCCAUAUAAUCACAUAUUAUAAUCAUGAUCUUUCUAUUGCAUAUACAUAUACUUAAGCAUAUAUCAAUUAGUAUACCACCACAUCUCAUCCAGCUCAUGUGCAUCCCCCCACAUCGUGCACAUAGCUAAACACCCCAUCUCACCCAGCUCAUGUGCAUCCCCCCACAUCGUGUACAUAGUUGGACACCCCAUCUCACCUAGCUCAUGUGCAUCCCCCCACAUCGUGCACAUAGCCAGAGUCAUCGUGUCUCACCCAGCUCAUGUGCAUCCCCCCACAUCAUGCACAUAGUCGGAGUCAUCGUAUGCAUCCCCCUACAUCGUGCACAGAUAAUGCCAUCAUGUACAUCCCCCCACAUCAUGCACACGAGCAGUAUCACCAUCCAUCUCUCUCACCACCGUCAUCACCGGCAAGUGCACACUCACCCCGCACAUGCACGAUUGCAUUUGUCAUACAAUGGUACCAUUUAUGACAUAGUAUAUACAUAUCAACAUUAUACAGAAACAUAUGAAUUCAUCACACUAUCCAUUUCAUAACAUAAAAACAUUUCAUAAAGGUUUGUUCCCAUGCAAGCUUUUGAAGAAAAACCAAUAAAACGUUUUAGGAGAUUCAAUCAAACAUAAAUGUGUAUAUCGCAAAACAUUUUAAUGCAAGUUCACUCACUUGGCAAAAUUAACAUUGACAAGGUUCUAAUCCAAGUAGUCCCGAAAUACCAUCAAAACCUAUAUUUAUCAAUAACCAAUAACAACCUCAAGUAAGUCAUAAAUUUAAAUCUAAUAAUUUUAAUAAAUUUACACUAGGUAAUCUACCCUCUAACCAAACAUUUAACUUAAAUUUCUAGUCUAAUUCUCAAACCCAUCAUACCAACUAUUUCCAAAUGUAAAGAUUCUUUACCUUGGUGAGCUCGGAGGCAUGAAAAUCAAUGGAAAACCUAAUCUUUCCAAGAAAAAUGAUUUGAAGAAAUUAGGAAAUAAAUCUGAAAAUAUAACCAUAAAUUCAAAAAUUUCAAAAGUUGGAAAUAUAUACCUUUCAACCUUGAAAAUGAAGAUUUGAAGCCAAAAAUCUAAGUGUUGUUGAAAGUGAAGUAGAAAUAGAAAAUAAAGGAAAGAAAGAGAGAUUUUUCUUUCUCUCUCCUUGGGUUUAGAAGUGCUGGAAAUUGGGGUUAGAAGUUGUAACUUUGGUGCACAAGGAGUUGGGAGAAGAAAAAAGCAAAAAAAGAAAGGAAAUGAAAAGAAAACAACGAAAGAAAAUGAAAGAAAAUUAACUUUCCAUGGAAGAAUGAGAGAAUGGUGUUGGAAGCUUCAAGAAUGAAGAAGAAACAUCUUGCUGGAGGAG